ensembl:processed_transcript BC006965 cDNA sequence BC006965
CACACGUCGGCCACUCCACCUCGGGCGCUCUGAAGCCGGCCGCAUGGAGACUGGGGGACGAUGGCCAAGGGACAGAGGAAAAAUGGCAGGGCAAACCCCCUUGGAUUUGCCCACGUGGAGUUUGGAUAUUUACCUGACUUCUUUGUCAAGUCUUGGGCCUGAUGCAGGUUACAGAAGUAUGGCCACUGGUUCAUGUAUUCAACAGUUCAGGGGAGCUGUCACCACCGAAGGAAGGAGGAUAGUACUGACAGGGCUGAUGGUAAUGAUGACAUCUAAUGUACAUGGAGCAGCUCCAUCUGCCAGACACUACCUCACACUUCAAGUGCAUCCUCCCAGAAGACUGAGUACUGGGAGAUUCCGAGAGCCAAAUCAAAAGCUGCCUCCCACGUGGUGCUUAAGGGAGCCCUGAAGAAGAGCAAAGGAACUGUGAUUCCCUAAGCUCAGGGAGUGGUCAAUAAGUCUCCUCUUUGCUGGCCCGCUGGCAUGGGCUUGUAAUCUCAGCUACUUAUGAGUUGAGGCAGAAGGAUAAGAAGUUCAAGGCCAGUCUUGUCAACUUAGCAAAACUGUCUCAAAUUUUUGAAAAAGCGAAGCAGAGUUGGGAAUGUCAGGUAAGGAUAGAAUGCUUACCCAGCAUGCACCAGGUCACAGAUUCAGUCCCUAGAACUGACAAGAAAAGUGAUCCCCUCUUUAAAAGGAACUAUUUUCUGACUACCCUGGAAAUGGAUGGUUCUAGAAGAGUUAGAUACUCACCCUGAAAUUUGUGGGAAAUCUCAGAUUUGGAGUCUUUGUAGUUAACCACGUCAGGUAUAGUGUCCCCAACUGUGAUGGCAGAUGGGGACCUCACACUGCCCCCAACCUCAUGUUCUUUCUCCCUUAGGAAAUUUUUGGGGUCUAAAACUGCAUCAGGUAUGAGAGAUAACUCCCCUCUCUCUCCUCCUUUGAGACCAGGCUUGGUACCAUUGUGUGCAGACUUGAGGCAGGGUGCUUAAAGUCCUCCCUCCCUCAUCUCUCCUCGUCUAACCUAAGGGAUAAAGAGCUUGCUUUCAAAUGUUAUUCACGCUGGGACAAUGGGCAAGAGAACACUAAUGUUUUGGGACACAUGAAAUAAAAGGUAAUUUAUAUUUUA